GGAAGCUGGAAUGAAGGGUAGAAACCAUAGGGGAUUGUUUUAUUUAAUUAUAUUUUGAAUUUAAAUUAAAAGUAAAAAUGCUUUUAUUAAAUUUUGGGACGAGAAGACCCUAGAAGCUUUAGAUUUUUUUAAAUUUUUAGUUGGGGCAACUUGUAAAGAAAAAAUAUUUUUAUAAUUUAUUGUUGAAUUUUUGUAGGAGUUACUCUAGGGAUAACAGCGUAAUUUAGUUAGCAAGUUCUUAUUAAAAAUUAAGUUUGCGACCUCGAUGUUGAAUUAAUUUAAAUUUUUGACGGAAAAGUUUAAGGAUUUAGUCUGUUCGACUAUAAAAAAAUUACAUGAUUUGAGUUCAAACCGGUUUAAUCCAGGUCG
rnacentral:rRNA from 1 species